rnacentral:tRNA from 1 species
GCGCUCGUGGUGAAACGGAUAUCACAACAGUCUUCGGAACUGUCGUUGGGGGUUCGAAUCCUCCCGAGCGCA